rnacentral:rRNA from 1 species
GACGAACGCUGGCGGCGUGCUUAACACAUGCAAGUCGAACGGUGAAGCGCCUUCCUUUUUGGUGGGUGUGGAUGAGUGGCGAACGGGUGAGUAACACGUGAGUAACCUGCCCCCUUCUUCUGGAUAACCGCAUGAAAGUGUGGCUAAUACGGGAUAUUCUGGGUCUGUCGCAUGAUGGGUCUGGGAAAGAUAUUGUUUCGGUGGGGGAUGGGCUCGCGGCCUAUCAGCUUGUUGGUGGGGUGAUGGCCUACCAAGGCGGUGACGGGUAGCCGGCCUGAGAGGGUGGACGGUCACACUGGGACUGAGACACGGCCCAGACUCCUACGAGAGGCAGCAGUGGGAAUAUUGCACAAUGGGCGCAAGCCUGAUGCAGCGACGCCGCGUGAGGGAUGGAGGCCUUCGGGUUGUGAACCUCUUUCGCCAGUGAAGCAGGCCUGCCUCGUUUGUGGGUGGGUUGACGGUAGCUGGAUAAGAAGCGCCGGCUAACUACGUG